UCCAAUGUUCUAGGUUUCUAUAUCACGCUCU
rnacentral:piRNA from 1 species